GGAAUAAGCUACAGUUCCCUGGGAUAGCUGUUAAUGUGUCAGAAGAAGGUGCUGUUGUUGAAUGCAUGGAACGUACCAACAAGUGUUGGAAGUGGCCAAAAGAAAAGGACUCUUUGUUUUACAAAUGGAUCGCUAUUAAGAAAAAAAUCCAACCUCCAAAACUGUUAAAAAGAGGACUAUUUUCCAUCAGUAAUUUUUAAAAAAUAUGAAUUGUUUGCUAAAGCUUAAUUUUUGUACCUUUUCUAAAAAAAACAUAAUUCGAAAUAUAUUUUUCUGUCAUAUAAAUAUACUGAAUAAA
rnacentral:lncRNA from 1 species